rnacentral:rRNA from 1 species
GACGAACGCUGGCGGCGUGCUUAACACAUGCAAGUCGAACGGAAAGGCCCUGCUUUUGUGGGGUGCUCGAGUGGCGAACGGGUGAGUAACACGUGAGUAGCCUGCCCUUGACUUUGGGAUAACUUCAGGGAACUGGGGCUAAUACCGGAUAGGAGCUCCUGCUGCAUGGUGGGGGUUGGAAAGUUUCGGCGGUUGGGGAUGGACUCGCGGCUUAUCAGCUUGUUGGUGGGGUAGUGGCUUACCAAGGCUUUGACGGGUAGCCGGCCUGAGAGGGUGACCGGCCACAUUGGGACUGAGAUACGGCCCAGACUCCUACGGGAGGCAGCAGUGGGGAAUAUUGCACAAUGGGCGGAAGCCUGAUGCAGCAACGCCGCGUGCGGGAUGACGGCCUUCGGGUUGUAAACCGCUUUCGCCUGUGACGAAGCGUGAGUGACGGUAAUGGGUAAAGAAGCACCGGCUAACUACGUG